UGUACGUCGUUUUCCAAGCAGACCGCGUUUAGUUUACGCGAAAUGAACUUAUGUAUGCUCUAUGAUGAUCCGCCGCAGGCUUAGCCCUUUUCCCCGAUCACCAGUGUUUUGGCAUUCGAUGUCGCAUGUCUAGACUUGUUCAGUAGUGUCUUUCUUGCUGCAAUUUUUACCCUUCGCUGAUAUCUUGUUGCUGUCAUGUUGUGCUAGCCGCGUAGCGAUAAGCGGUGAUUCUCCGAUUAUUCCUAGGCGGUACGGCUUAAGCCUUUUCCCUGCUCACUGAAGGAAAUUUGUGUAUCCCUGUCCUGUGCUUUCUUUACGCAAGGGUAAUGCGUCUGUGUAUGUGGCACUAUCAUAUACCAGACAUGAGUGUCUUUUUAUUGGUUUAUUGGCAUAUGCUUCAGGUUUUUUAAGUCAAGCAAAAGUGCGUGUAAUAUUUCGCUGCUCUUUUUCUUAUUUUCUCUACUUUUAUGUAGAAGAAAGCCUCCUGCGUAAAAGCUGAAUAGUGUUCUACCAGUGGAAGUGGGGUUGUUUGUUUGAUUUUGUUGGGUGUUCGAUAUCUUGACGAAGUAAGCAGUGCUUAAUUUUGCAGGUUUCUGAGCAGAAAUGCUGGUAUCUGAGCACGGAGUAGAAAUUUCUAUAUUUCUCUGCUCCUUAAGAAAAUUUGUACGUCGUUUUCCAAGCAGACCGCGUUUAGUUUACGCGAAGUAGAAAAAUGAAGUUGUGUAUGCUCUAUGAUGAUCCGCCGCGGGCUUAGGCCUUUUCCCCGAUGAGCAGUGUUUUGUAUGCGAUGUCGCAUGUCUGGACUUGAUCAGUGUUGCAAUUUUUACCCUUCGUUAAUAUCUUGUUGUUGUUGUCGUCUUGUGUUAGACGUUGAGCUUCGUAGCGAUGUGCGGUAACGCUACGAUUAUUCCUGAGCGCUCCGUGUGUUUAAUGCGUUGUCCUCUGUGCGUGCAUGCGUGUGCUUUUUUUCUCCUGAUUUGUGACGUCAUCGUGGCAUGUCUGGACUUGUUUAGCAGUGUUGCAGUUCUUCCCGCUGCUAGUAUCUUGUUGGUGUCAUGUUGUGCUAGCCGCGUGGCGAUGUGUGGUGAUCUGAGGUCUUAAGCCUUUUCCCUGCUCACCUAAGGAAAUUUGUGUAUCCCUGUCCUGUGCUUUCUUUACGCAAGGGUAAUGCGACUGUGUAUGUGGCAUUAUGCAAGAAUUAUCUGGUGGCAGAAAUAGGUGUCUUUUUCUCAGUGUAUUGGCGUGCGCUACGGUUUCUUGCAGUUACAGCUACUGGAGCACACAUGCGUGUAAUUUUUCGCGGUUCUUUUCUCCUUUCACGGCUUUUACUUAGAAUGUAGAUGAGGGGAAACAGUCAGCAUCCAGGUAGAGCAGGAGAAAGCCGCUCGGCAGAGGAGAGAGUUCAUGAGAAUGGAAUUUGUUUGUUUUUUGUUAUAUGUUGAGUGUUAGUAUUCGCUUUCCUCGAUAUGUUGAGGAAGUCAGCCGUUAUAGGUAUCUGAGCAGAAAUGCUGGUAUCUGAGCACGGAGUAGAAAUAUUUCUCUGCUCGUUAAGAAAAUUUGUACGUCGUUUUCCAAGCAGACCGCGUUUAGUUUACGCAAAAUAGAAAAAAUGAAGUUGUGUACGCUCUAUGAUGAUCCGCCGCAGGCUUAGGCCUUUUCCCCGAUGAGCAGUGUUUUGUAUGCGAUGUCGCAUGUCUGGACUUGUUCGGUAGUGUUGCAAUUUUUACCCUUCGCUAAUAUCUUGUUGGUGUCGUCUUGUGUUAGACGUUUAGCUUCGUAGCGAUGUGCGGUGACGCUACAAUUAUUCCUGAGCGCUCCGUGUGUUUAAUGCGUUGUCCUCUGUGCGUGCGUGCGUGUGCUUUUUUCUUUUUUUUUCUUCCUGAUUUGUGACGCCAUCGUGGCAUGUCUGGACUUGUUUAGCAGUGUUGCAGUUCUUCCCGCUGCUAGUAUCUUGUUGGUGUCAUGUUGUGCUAGCCGCGUGGCGAUGUGUCGUGACCUGUGGUCUUAAGCCUUUUCCCUGCUCACCUAAGGAAAUUUGUGUAUCCGUGUCCUGUGCUUUCUUUGCGACAAUGCGUCUGUGUAUGUGGCACUAUCAGAUACCAGACAUGAGUGCCUUUUUCUUGGUUUAUUGGCAUAUGCUUCAGGUCGAGCACAAGCGCGCGCAAUUUUUCGCUGCUCUCUUCUUCAAAUCACCGAUUUUACGCAGAAGAAAGUCGCAUGGUGCAGCUGAGAAGAGGGUUUCUCUGAUUGUUUGUUUGAUUUUGUUGGGUGUUCGAUAUGUUGAGGAAGUCAGCUGUUAAAGGUAUCCGUGAAGAAAUGCUUGCAUCUGAGCGCAGGAUAGGAAUUCCUGAAGCACGGCACCCUCAGUGUAAAUUAAUUAUUUUGGAUAUGAGUCUGCUUCCCUGCAUGACAAGGCUGAAAUGGGAAGAGAGAAAAAUUUGGUGCGCUUCAUUAGUAGCGAUCCAAGUAAUAGGGCAAUUAUAGUUUCCAUAGAAAGUUGGGCUCCUAAAAUUAUAGUUUAGUUGUAGUUUUUCUAAACUGCAAUGCAAUAAUCAUUAAUAUAGUAUAGGAAUGCUAUCGUGUUCCCGUAAAGGCGUUCUGUCUUGUGCUUUGGAAUGCGCGAAUAGAACUUUGCUCCCAGGCUUUCCCGCCAUUAUGCUCGCAAUGCGCGAAUGGAACUUUGCCCACCCGGCUUCCGCGCCUUUUUUGCUCGCAGGUGUAGCCUCAGACAACGAAUGUAUGAGCAUAGAAAGGGUCACGUAUUACAUAAGUCUGGAGGUGAUGUUGAGUGGUCUCACUUAUUAUUUUAAAAGAGCAGUGGCAGUUUACUGUAAUUGUAAUGACCAUGAUGAGCCUUUGGGGUGAAAAUCGUUAAUAUGCGGGGUGCUUUUUUGUUGAAUUUUAAUGAGAGAAUCAAUGUCAUUAAGAGUAGGACAAAGAAAAUAAUCUUGCGAUUCAAUAAAUAAUAGGAGUCUUUGUCGGUGUCUUCUUCAGACAGGAUGUGAUGACGUCAUGCAGUCUGUAGCAAUGCAUUGACCGUUACUGGAAAAAAGUGUGGCAAUAGAAAAAUGGUGUGUAUUGUCCUGGGCAGAUUUAUGAUGAGCACUGUUUUUGAAUAAGAAGAAAUAGUUUGAUGCUGGUUUCCUUCUUUGUUUCUUUUCGCUUUUUCCCCCCUUGUCUGACAAACAUGUGCUGACCAUGUCUGGGCUUGUUCUGACAUGCUUUCCUUCUGCAUGUAGUUUUUUUCUUUUUGUACAAGGCAUAUUCUUGACGAUUGUGCUGCCUUGAAUGGGAGUAGAGCUAUUCUUAAUAAUUUUGCGAUUCAUUUAGUUCAGAGAGUAACCGCGAGGGGGACAGGUGUGUGACUUUAUGUCUUGCUGAACCAUUUUUUUUUCCUGUACAGUAAGACUUUGGGAAUGAAAUGCUACAAUCUCCUCUUGUCUAUGGUGUUUUUCUGCAAUAGUUCCCUACGCAAUCAUUAUAGUAGAAUAAAGGAAAUAAUUUUGGGAUAGUGAUUCAAUAAAUAACAGGUGCCCUGUCUAGAGCGUACGCGUCCUUGAGCCACGCACCUGCAUGAUGACCGCAUACCGAGAGACUAUUGUUUCAGGUUGACCUUGUCUAGAGGAGCAUUAGUGGAAAAAAACUGUGAAGCCCUGAGACAAUAGGAUGACGUCACGACCAAUGAGAACGGCCUGCAGGGGGCGCAAGGAUUCACUUCUCUCUUGGACACUGACGGGUCUCGACACGCAAAUUCUGCUCCUGGCGUUGGCCGUCAGUGGAAGAGCGUAGCUUCGGUGGGGUUCUGUCUGCCUCUGAUGGGGUGCGGAUGUGUGGUUCGUCACUGGUGAAUGGUGUACGACGAUGCAGGUGGAUUUUGUGACGAGCGGAUUUACAAUGAGGAAAUGCUGUGAACGGGAAAAAUGAUGAGCUGUCCUAACUUGCCCAGACAUGCCAUGAUGACGUCACAGCUGACGUCACAGGAUGUCCGGAACUGGUGCUCCGAUGCUUUGCAACCUGCCUCCGUGCUCCGUCGCCCAGCGACAGUCAGCGGCCGUUCCGGACCGCUUUCUACAAGAUGGCGUCGUUGAUCUUCCACUAAACUCCUUCUCUCCACUCUAUCUCUAUCUUUUUAUUUGAUUUUCUACCUAUUUUUUUAUUUUUUAUCAGCUCAAGUAGCCGGAAACUCACACAGUGGUCUGGACGUGUCUUAGAUGAUCCCCAAUUAGUGUAAUGACGCCCUGGUGGGUCCUGAAUAAUGUGGGGGGUCCUAAUUAGCUCUAAUUGCUAAUUAAUGGCGUCCAGACGAAGAUGGGAGUUUCCGGAUACUUGAGCUGAUCCCAUACUACUGACAAUUACACAGUUGCCUAAUACUGCUUUUCUCCAGUUCACAGUUCUGUAUUAUGUCGUCUUUUAUGUGGUGCGCCCUGCACUGGAGUUUUUAGCGACCUUAAUGCAGGACCAAACCAAUUUCGAGCGCCCAAAUUUUAACAUCGUUCGACAGGGCCAAAUGUGACAUACUUGUGAAUAUGGUCGCUCAUACGUUCGCGCUGCCCACGGAAUUCAAUAUCCACCUUCAGGACAGUCGUAUUGAGGCAUAGAAGUUACAAAUCUUCGUGGGUUGUAAUGCACUCAUAUUGGUGUCAUUCGGCUGCGCUUUCGAGCUCCUUGCAGCACAAGCAUAUUCGAUCUCCUUCGGCAGUAUGACACACCAGCCGCACCGGCACCUUAAACAGGAAGUACGCAUUAAAUAUGAGGACACAAAAUUUCAGAGAACACGUUUACAUGUUUGAUCACAGUGUGCGUUGACAAGCUCAUCGCUUACCUGUCUGUCGAAGACAGGCGACUGAUCCUGUUUGCUUCAUCUGUGACCGAUGUUCGUAGAGCGUUGACUUCGGCUCGUAUUUGCGGCAUCGGCGACGUUUCGAAAGCGAGGCUUCCGAGCUGUUCAGCACACAGAAUUUCCUUCUCGAUCGUAGAAAGGUCAGAAAAAAGUUCCGGGCUCGAAGUCUCCGAAUUCCUUGCUUCGACGUCCAUAUUGAAGAUCGCUUUCCGGAUGCCGCCGCUCUCACAAACUAACAGCAGAACUUCCGGUCCGGGCGGCCAAUGAAACAUGAACCUCAUGUUUUCGUCACGCACAUGGAAAUUGGCGGAUAUCCACUACAAAGAGGCUAGAUUUCGGCGUCGAUUGCGUGAGUUGAGGAGGAAAAGCCAAGCGGGUUUUCAGCUCCCCAUUUGGCAAACUUUGCCGCCGCGCACAGCCAAAAUAUUUUGCGUGUAGCUUGGAGGCAUAUUAUACCUUCGUAAUAGAUGCAAACGAAAGAUUUGUUGAACUUCUGGUCAGAGUCCCUUUAAAUGCGAGGUAUAUUUUUCUUUUUGAGACUCUGUAACAAAAACAUAUUAACAUAUAAAUGACAUUUCAUAAAGGGAAUUGACAGAGUUUUGUGUGACCAUGUGAUGCGUUGAGCCAAUUGUGGGUGUUGCCAGUGACCCUCAUGUUGACGUCAUGUUGAUGGUGGGCCGUGGUGGAUAUUCUAUAUAAACGUAUGUUUUCUCGGUUUAACGCUAGGCGUGCUCUACUCGGAUGAAGUCGAAUGUUUAAAAUUCGAGUUUGGAGAAACUGUGGGGUUUUAAUGCGUGAAUUUUCGCAUGGAGAGUCCGUGUUGGGUGCUCUAUCGACUGCAAGUACGAAAGAGCUCCCACAACUUCUGGUCAGAGUCCCUUUAAGAAUGCUCUUUGUUAUCAUCUGAACGCCACAUAGUGAUUUUUGUUCUUUUUGUUGUCUAAUGUUUCAUUGUUUUGUGUCUUCUGUAUGCAUCCUCUUAUAUUUGAACUUAUUGUUACAUACGCCCCUCCCCUCUCUAAUGCUAAUAAGCCCUGAGGGUAUCAUAAAUAAAUAAAUAAAUAAACGGGAAAAACCAACUGGAAAACCCAAGCGGGAUAUGCUGCUGUCA